GGGGCCGACUGGAUUUGACAGCAUGACCCUUAAGUUGUAAGCAUGUCGAGCAUUGAGUAUUGGCUCGUAAAUCUUAAAUCUCGAACUUUUUAAAUGGCGAAACUAAUUACGCCUUAGCUGCCUAACAAAUAGUUACGUAGCUAUCUAUCCUGAGAAUUUUGCUCGAUGGUUUUCAAUUUGGAUAGUCAGAAAUUUGAGCUAGGUUGAAUAAUAGUCUCGAUAUUUAACCGAAACCUUUGAGACUCAAGGUAAUAGUUUGGUAGCAGCUAACCUGCUAUUUCCCGAAAAUCAAUAGUUGCUAAACAUGUAGAAAGCUUCUUGAAGGCUUGUUUGGACGAGGGUUCGAAUCCCUCCGGCUCCACUG
rnacentral:tmRNA from 1 species